UGAGUAACCUGCCCUUAACUCUGGGAUAAGCCUGGGAAACUGGGUCUAAUACCGGAUAUGACUCCUCAUCGCAUGGUGGGGGGUGGAAAGCUUUUUGUGGUUUUGGAUGGACUCGCGGCCUAUCAGCUAGUUGGUGAGGUAACGGCUCACCAAGGCGACGAUGCGUAGCCGACCUGAGAGGGUGACCGGCCACACUGGGACUGAGACACGGCCCAGACUCCUACGGGAGGCAG
rnacentral:rRNA from 1 species